AGUAGAGGAAGGAAAAAAAUGAUCCCUGUACUGACACAGGGAAAGAGAAUGUAGGAGAGUGACGUCCGGGCCCCGCCUCCCCCUCCGGCCACGUGCAAAGACUUGAAAGGAAAGAGGGAGACCGCGAGCCUGCUGGAUACAAGCCAGCAGAGCUGACCUAGUGGGAAGGAAUCCUGACCUCAUCCUAAAAUGGGAAAUAGGUUCUUUUGUCUUCAAGGAACUUUGGCCGAUUUCUGUGCUUUCCCCAUCUGCUGACUGAGCUCCCUCACACUGGUUGAGGACCACUGGGAAGCCAGAAAAGGCUCUGCUGGAGAAGAUGGCUGCCUUCAGGAGUUGAGAGUCCAUCUUGAUGCCCAGGAAAGGAAUGAAGCUCCCCCCACACCACUCCCAAUCUGCCACUCAUAUAAGGUGACUUCCUGUGAACUAAAGAUCCAAGGGGCUACAAUGGUCAAAAAAGAGAGGAAAAUGGAACCACAGCCACUCGUACUUUCUCACUGGAAGGAAGUCAACAGAAGCCCCGCUUGACAGGGGGGUAGCACUUGCCUGGGAACACAGCAAAAACAAUGGCAUUUGGUGGGAGCUGGAGUGGCUUCACUGUGUACUGUGGUGACUGCUAGCCCCACAGAAGGAAGGUGUCUUCUGGUGUCUGUUCUGUGUUGUGGUGGUGUUGGCCUAGAGAGAUACAGACUUGAUAGACCCAGGUUGAAUUUCACUCCUGCCUCAUCUCGGCUCCCAUUACACAACCCCAAAGACCAUCCUUGAUGGGAAAGAAGAUGCAAAUCGAUCCCAGAGGCGGCCAUCGGUUGAGAGGGGGGCAUGAGCAAAGAACUGUGAACUUGAGAGGAGCCAAAGUAAAAAAAGAAAAUUAGGUAAAUCAAGGAGUGUUUAUUGGGAACGGGCUCUGCAGAAGUCAUGGCAAGGUGCCUGAGAGGUUCUGGGUACCACCUGACCCCCGCUCACUGUGUGACACUGCCUUCCUCUGGGCCUCGGUUCUUAUAUCUGUAAGACGACACCACUGGAUCUGAUCUCUGAGAUUAUCUCCCUUUAAGAAGUUUGCAAUCUUUUGGCAAAAGGGGCGGUAGAAUUAAGUAGCCAAGAGGCUGAAUUUUCAUCCUGGAAGAAAUUUCAACCUGCAAGAAGGGCUUGAAGGAGCCCAAACGGAAAUAAAGCAAGCAGACUUUGCCUGGUAAGAUUCGAGGACAACAGGAAUCAACAGACCUUUCUCAGGGCCCUGAGAGUUAAAGGUCAGAUCUCAGGGGUCUUGCCACAGCAAAGGAAAGCUAACUAAUACAAUUCCGUAAAGCAGAAUGUGGAGGUCCCAGACCUUGCAGGUGUGAACCGGAAGGACCCGGAAGGACCCGGAAGGACCCGGAAGGACCCGGAAGGACCUGGAAGGAAUAAAGGGAAGUUCUCAGAGAGGUCUGGAGAAGAACCUGUACUGGAAGAUUCAGCCUCACCACCUACCCUGGGACACUGGAUGGUAGGCUUGAGCUCUGUCCCCAGGUCCUGUUGGGGCCCCCCCUUUGAACUGAAAGGGAGAGGGGCAGAAGAAGCCAGUCCAUGCUAUGGUUUUCACAUACGACUUUCCUUGGGAAUUCGUGACAGGGGCUGACACGUGGCAGAACAAACUUUCUGGGGUGGCUCCUAGGAAGAGUAGGGUCAUCAUCAUGCUCUGCAUCUGCGAGCAAAGACUCUCUGCCUUCCAUCAGAUUCAGCUCUGACAGGCUUUUGUCUGUGGUUCACACUUCUGCCAAGCUUCUGCCAUAUCCUGCUGGGCCUAAUUAACAAAUCCAGAGCCCACGGUUUGGGCCAACCAAGAAAGAGCUGAGUGCCGCAAGGAGGGUGGCAGAGGCAGACAUUCUCCAGCUGGGCAGUUUGGACUGGCACACAGCAUCAUGCGGGGCUGGCUGCAGGUGUUCCAGAUGGCAGCCUGGGGUUCCCUUAUCUCCAAUGCUGGCUUUUGUUCACAACAUUACACGUCCGCUAGCCUCACCACACCCUCAUGGCUGUCCAAGCACGCUCGAGCCCGCAGCAGCAGGGUAGAUAAAGGCAGUGUUUAAGGCUUCUUUCUUUUUAAAAGGAAGGCAGACCGGAGUUGUUCCAGGAAGUGCUUCAGAUGAACAGAAUGGAGCUAUGUAACAUCGUUGUGUGAGUGGCUUCUAGAAUAUCAGCCAGGGACCCAUGACAUUCAUGAACCCCUUAGCCACAGAAACAUGGUCUGAGAAAAUCCACCACUGGGUGAGGUCCUUGGAGUGCGAUGGCACUCGACUCUAAAGGUAAAUCUGCUGGCUAGGUGUUCAGGGACACACUUGUCUAGGGGUGAGGGAUAGCUCAGUGGUUAAGAUCACUGGCUGCUCUCCCAGGGAACCCUGCUUUGAUUGCCAGCACCAGCAUGGUGUCUCACAAACAACUACAACUCCAAUUCCAGGGAAGCCGAUACCUUUUUCUGGCCUCCACAGUCACCAGGAUUACACACACACACCUGCACACCAUCACCGCCACCCCAGCCACCACCACCCAUGGAGGCUGCCAUGACGAGGCCAGGAAGGAACAGGAAGAAACCAUCAGGAACUGAUCCACAUCUUGAGACACCUCAGUGUAGUCAUAUAUGAACAUUUCUCAAGAACGAGUACACUCAGAUACAUGAUAAACUUCAAAACAAAUGAAAAUUUGGGGGGCUUCUCCACCGUAUACUAAGCUCUGCUCUGGGGUCUCAGAGUACACAGUAAACACAGUCAGGCAGCCAACCAGGCAAUCGCAACACUGUCUGAGGUGCGGUGCAGCUCCAUAGGAAGGUUUCCUGCCUGGACCAUUCCUCCCUCAGCUGCAGGACCAUAACAGUGCCCAGGUUCCUUUACUUGGCUGAGAUCCCUUGAUCAUUUUAAGCCAGUCUGAUAUAAGUAGAGAUGCCAUGGAUAACAUCUGGACAGAUAGCUCAAAGGGAGCCUUUAAACUUGAGCUUUCCUCUUUUCCUCACUGUUGGACCAGGCAGCGGACCCUCCAAUGCCAUUUUGGAUCACGGGGUGAUCUUGUAGCUGAGAACCCUCCAGUGAGGAUGCUGCAGGAGAAAGAGAAAGGCUCCCAGAUGACUUGGGUGACUAACCGCCUUGCCAGCCUCAGGCUGCCCCUCCAGACAAUUGUUUACAGGGGCAAGCGGAUGUGUGCAUUGAAAUCAGUGCUCAGUUUGGUGCUCAACCACUCACAGCUCAGCUAAUCACACGGUAAGACAGAGAUAAAGACAGGGUUCCACGGAAGAUCUAUAAGGUGCAGGCUCGCAGGCUGUCAUCAGAGAGCACUGCUUAGACAAGGAUGCCACUUGAGUUGAGUCUCGGAAAAUAAGUAGUGCUUGGCUGAGAAAUACAGCGAGUCUUUUAGAAUGUUAUGAGAGUUCAACCUGGUGUGCCUAUAUAAUCAGAUUGUUUAAACCCAGCCAAAGAAACCCUCUUUUAUCCUCACGGAACAAACCAUCUGACCUAUUGGAUGAGUAUCAGUUAGCAUUUCUUCCUUCUACUGGCUAUUUGAUCACUCGUUGAUAGGUGGGAUGGGUGAUACUUUAGUUCUUUACUUGAUAUAAAAAAAUCUCCUAGUAAAAAUUAAACCUCGCAUUUUAUGAGAUUUUAUUUUAAAAGGAAAGAUUUGUUUUAAUUGCGAGUAUGUGUUUUUGUGUGUGUGCCUAUGUGUGGGUAUGAGCACACGAAUGCCACUGAAGGCUAGAAGAGCUAGACCCAGGAGCUAGCCUUUCAGGUGACUCACGUCUGUCACCUUGUGUUGGCCCUGGGAACCAAGCUAGUCUUCUGCAAAAAGUGACAAAUAUUCUUAACCUCUGAACUAUUAUCUCUCUGCCUCUGGGACUUCUGUCAACAAAAGUAAAUUAUAAAAAGUAUAUAAAAUGUUGCAGAGACAUGUCUAAAUAUUGGGAUGCUCAAUAUCACUAAUAUAUACAUUUCUCUCAAAUUAAUCAGCAGGUUAAACAUCAUAGGGCAUUUGAUAGAAAUUGACGUGAUUAUCCGAAAAUUAUAUGGAAGCAAGCCAUUUGGCUUCAGCUAUCAAUUUGACACAAACCUAGAGUAACCUGGAAGAAGGAACUCAGGUGAAUUACCUCCAUCAGAUCGCUUUGAGACCGUGUUGCAUUUUCUUAAUUGCUAAUUAAUUAAUUAAUGGAAGGCCUGGCCCACAGUGGACUGUGCAUUCCAUAGACAGCUAGGCCCUGGGCUGUGCAAGAAAGCAGGCUGAGCAAGGCAGAGGGAGCAGGCCAGAGGGAGCAGGCCAGAAGGAGUAGGCUGGGGGAGCACUCCAGAGGGAGCACACCAGAGGGAGCAUGCCAGAGGGAGCAUACCCAUACGGAGCUUUUCUCCUCUGUGUUUCUCAUUUCAUGCUCCUGCCUUUUCUUCCACUAGUUUCUUUUGGCCAUGAUGUUUAUCAUAGCAGCAGAAACAAAACCAGAACCCACCAUUAACCUAGAACAGCUUGAAUUAUCUUGAAAAAAAAAAGUUCUCUUUGAGACACAAGCCACCAGAGUUCAAGGGUUCCUCAGAGAUGUGCAAUACUGAAGGGCAGCAUGGAGCCGAUAUAGACAAAGAAAGAAGAUCAAAGGAAGGACGUGUGGAAAGAUGUGCACACCUAGGUCACCCGUUGGUUUGCAUCUCUGUCAGCAAGGCAGGUCAUGAGGGGAAAACAAUCUCACUGAACAGUGCUGAAGGAGCAGAGAGGACGUCUCAGGAAAUACCCCUAAGAGAAGAACAUCCACAUAUAUGUGAGGAAUGUCAAUGCAAAUGGUGGAAUUCUUUCUUGACUCCUUGCGUGAGCCAGGCACUGCUCUGGGUCCUUAGAAUACCACACACGUAGAAAAGAAGCCAAAUCGGCACCCUGCUUCACGCUGGGCACAAAGAACUGACGUUGGAUCGCAGACCCACACUUCUACUGGGAAACACAGAAUAUUUUUUAUCGUUUUUGGAUAAACAGAUUUUUUUAAAGUAGGACACAUAAAACAACAAUAAUAAAAGGGAAAAUGGAUAAAUUGGACUUUGUCGAAAUUAAAAAUCUGUUUUCAUCAACAGAGAAGGACAUCACUGAGAAAAUUAAUAGUGAGGCAAACCCAGGGGAAAAACUCUAAAAUAAAGAACAAAGAAUUUGUGUUCACGAUAUAUAAAGAAUUAGUAUGUGGCUGGAGAGAUGGUUCAGGUUAGAACACUGGCUGCUCUUCCAGAGGACCCAGGUUCAAUUCCCAGCACCCACAUGGCAGCUCACAACUGUCUGUAACUCCAGUUCCAGAGGAUCUGACAUUUUUACACAGAUCUACAUACUGGCAAAAGACCAAAUGCAUAUGAAAUAAAAGUUAAAACAAAGGAAUUGUGGUUGGGGAUUUAGCUCAGUGAUAGAGCGCUUGCCUAGCAAGCGCAAGGCCCUGGGUUCAGUCCCCAGCUCCGAAAAAAAAGAGAAAAGAAAAAAAAAAAACCAAAGGAAUUAGUAAAAGAGUCAAUCCAAUGGCGAGAUACAAAGGCUUCAAGAAAAUACCAUAUAUGAAUGUCAUUCUAUGCAAAUAUAUGCAAAUAUAAAGAAGCACAUGAAAACAUGUUCAGCACUGGGCACGGUUGCUGGUGCCUAUUAUCCCAGCACUCAGGAGGUGGAGGCAGGAGCUUCCUGAGUUCAAGCCCUCCCUCAACUAUAUAGUGAGUUUGAGGUCAGCCUGGUCUACAUGAGAUCCUAUCCCAGAAAAUAAAACUCAAGACCCAAAAGGGGUUGGAGAGAGAGCUCCAGUAGUAAAAUGCUUGCCUUGUACGCAGGAAGAGCUCAGUUUGAAGAAGAGCCCCAGAAACAAUGGCUGGGUAUGGUGGAACUUGCAAUUGCAGCCCCGGGAAAGCAGACACAAACGGAUUCCUGGGCUCACCGGCAAGUGGGUCGAGCUUGGUGAGCUCCAGGCUGGUGAGAGACCCUGUCUGGAAAAGCAAGGUAGACUGUGUCUAAGGAGCAACACUUGAGGAUGUCCUCUGGCCUCCACAUACAUGUGCAUCUGCAUACAUGUGCACACAUACCACCACAAACAUGCACAAUCACAUACACACACAGAGACCCCCCCCCCACAAAUAAAUAAAAUAAGAUGUAGAAAGAAAACUUGGGAUUGCGUUAAGCCUGAGAGAGCUUGCCUAAUGUACAAUGGGGUCAAUCUCUAGUACUGCAGUAUUGAAAGAAAAAUUUAUUAUGGAAAAAUGUAAAAUAAAAUUAAAACAAAAACCAUCAUGUUACUCAUCCACUAGAAUGGCUAAAAUUAUGAAAACCAACCUGAAUUUUUGAGAAGGUAUAGAGUAACUGGAACUCCCACACAUUGCUGUAAAAGGGUCAUGUGGUUUCAAAAGCUUGGCAGUCUCUAAUGUUACACACACACACACCUGCCGGUUAUGGUGAAUUUUAGGUGUCAGACUGACUGGGCUAAACGAUUCUCAGAGCGCUAGAAAGCAUCGUUUUGAGGAAUGUCUUGUAUAAGUGUUUCUAGGAGCAAUCAACAAGUAAGGUUGCCUUGGCAGUGGCCUCAGUGUGGCGGUCUGAAUGAGAAGGGUCCCCAUAUUUGAAAACCUGGUCCUCAUGUGGUGGAACUACUUGGGAAGGAUUGAGAGGUGUGGCUUUGUUGGAGGAGGCAUGUCACUGUGGGCCAUUACCAGCAUGCUCCUCCUGCCUCCCCUGUGAUUAAGCUGUGAGCUCGGCUGUCCCUGCCACCCCACCUUCGCCCCACCAUCAUGGGCUCUAACCCCCUACAACUGCAAGUCAGAUGAACAUUUUGUUUUAUAAGUUACCUUGGUUACGGUGCCUGAUCACAGCAAUAGAAAAGCAACUAAGAUACUCGGUUAACAGGUUGAUCCGAACAGAAUGUAGGGGAAGAGCAGUUUGCCUCCAGUCUGUGUUGGGACAUCCAUCUUUUCCCGUCUCCAGACACGAAUUUCUUGUUCUUGGGCUUCCAGUUGUGAAUCGUACCACGUUUCCUUUGGAUCUUCAGCUUGGACGUGGCAAAUCAUGUUCCUUCCUGACUAUCCCGGUGUGAGCCAGUUCCUAUAACUUAUGCCCGUGUCUGUCUCUUUCUAAAUAACCAAGUUUCUGUUAUCUAUGUAUCCUUCUACCUACCCAGCCAUCUAUCUCUGUACCUACCGCCCCCUAGUGGUUCAGAGCCUGUGGGGACUCCUGACUGAUUUACUACCUGUGUCAGAAGCACACCAAAGAAAUGAAGGUGUCUGUCUAUUCCAAUAGUGGCAACCAAUUGCUCACUACAGUUUUAUUUAAAACAGUCCAAACUGGAACGGUGGCAUGUGACUUGUCACCCCACCUAUGACUUGUCCUUCCCUUUGUUUGCGACUGUCCUUUCAGGAAAAGCUCCCGGCAUGGCUAAAGCCUGACUGACCACGUUUUUCUUUUAUGAGUCAUCUUUAGCUGUCGCGUUUAAGAAAUCUUCGGCUGUGACAAGUUUCCCCUGUGUUUUCUGCUAGACCCAUUACAUUUAUGUAAAGAAUGACCGCACGCAGGACAUUCUAACAGCCUCAUUGUGAUCCCCCAGGUGAAACCAUUUUAGCAUCUCCAUUUACUUUCAGAGGUCCUGAUAUAUUGGUCACCCUGCCCCGCACGGCUAGUCAGCAUGGGGACAGGAGGCAAAGCAGAACACGCUGAGUUCGAACUGCAGGAAUCAUAAGGUUAAUGGCGAUAACGUUCUCCAGGGAAGGAGCCAGGAGCUCUCUCUCAUUAGUCCUCAGUGCAGACUUCUCUCCCAGACAUUCCCCAGCCCUCGAAUACAGCAUCCAGUAUAUUCUGUAUACAGAAGGCCUCUCUCUCUUUUACGAUUGUCUUCCUAUCUGUCUUGCUUUGGGUGUUUUUGGUUUUUUGUUCCUUGCACCUUUUAAUCUGGCUGGUUCUGAGCCUUGAAAUCCUUAUCUCGGAUUUCACAGUAGGCAUCUAAAGGCAACACUGCGUAGAUUCAAGUAAGUAUCCUUGGACCUUUAAACAUGCCAAAAAUUUUAAGAUCUGGUAAAUACAGUUGGGCCUGGAAACUUCAGAUCAAUCCAAGGGCUCCAGGGAGGUGGGGAGGGGCCCACUGAGGGUGGAAGCGGCCAGCAGUUGAUAUCCUCUGAGUGGCUUGUUAGCGCCCUCUCCUCUUGGUAAUAGUAUCUGUGAGACUCAUGGCAUCUGCGAUGGCGGCAGGCCCAGGGGUGGGGGACAAGCAUCUCCUUUGUCAGAUCUGGCCAGUUGGUGGCUGAGGGCACCUAUGGGAUAAGACUUGGGUACCAUGAGGCCACCAUGAGAGGAAGCUGAGGCUGGCCUUUGGAGGAGAAGACACUGUAUGGCAGACGCCAGAAUGCUAGAUCACAGCCAAUCAGAGCCCAGCAGCCUCCUUCCACUGACUGCAGAAACAUGAGUGGAUCCAGAAAGACUGAGCCUAGCCUUCGGCGUUGGCCUAUGGAAUUCUUGGAUAAAAACUAAUAAUUGUCUGAAGGCACUAGGUUUUUAUGAUUGUAGUGGUUUGAAUUGGUUGGGCCCCCACAGACUCAUGUGUUCGAAUCUUUGGCCCACAGGGAGUGACACUGUUAGAAGGUGUGUCCUUGUUGGAGGAAGUGUGUCACUGUGGAGGUGGACUUUGAGGUCUCAGACUCUGCCCAGUGCAGAAGAGACCCUCCUGCUGGUUGCCUGCAGAAGCCAGUCUUCUCCUAGCUGCCUUCAGAUGUAGAUGUAGAACCCUCAGCUUCUUCUCCAACACUGUCUGGAUGGUGCCAGGCUUCCUGCCAUGACGAUAAUGGACUGAACUCUGAAACUGCAAGCCAACAAGUGCUUAACUGCUGAGCCAUCUCCACAGCCCUUCAUGUGUAUGAGUGUUAUGCUCGUCUACACGCCAAGUGCAUGCAGUGUCCACAGAGUCCAGAAAAGGACUUUGGAUUUCCUGAAACCGGAGAGCGGCCAGUGCUCUUAAUCAAUAUACCCUCUCUCCAGCCCCAGGGCAAUAUAUCUGAACUAUCAGCCAGGACUCCUCGUCCAGGCUGGUGCUAUGGUUUGAAUAUGGUGGGUCCCUCUGCAACCACUGUUGAAAACUGAUUGCCACAGGAGGCGGCUUCAGGGCUGUCUAGGGAGCUCAGUGCCUCUCUCCCGGAACUGGAUUAUUUCCUAUGAGAAUGCUGCUCUAAGCAAGGCUGCCCCUGUGUUUUCUAUUGUCUUCUGUGCUAGUUUCUCUGUCUACCACCUCCUUUUGGACUUCCUGCCUCUGGAGACUGUGAGCUAAAUAACUUCAUUCCUUGAUAAAUCACCCAACCUUUGGCAUCUAUUGUAACACAGAAAAAGGAGCGAGAUAGACAAGUAGGCAUGACAAUGAUAUUUAUGGAGUCUUGCUAAGAGAAAUGAAAUCCCGAAUGCGAAGUAAUUAAUACAGUGCCUGGCACAUAA